AGACAUUUGGUUCAUGUGCUUGGCUGAUAAGCCAAUGGUGCGAAGCUACCAUCUGAGGGAUUAUGACUGCACGCCUCUAAGUCAGAAUCCCGCCUGGAAAGCGACGAUGCAUUCGUGCCUCGGCCUCGAGAGGCGUAGCUAGACGGCCGUGUGGCCGUGGAAAGAGCCCGAUUCCGACCCGAGAGGCCGCGGCAAGAGGCGGCCUCGAAGUCGGUGGAUCCUCCUGCUCGAAAGGCGGGGUGCUAAACCAUUCGCAGACGACCUAGUUGAAGAUCGGGGUGUCGUGAUCACUAGAGCAGUACAUCUCACUGCGAUUUGUUGAGAGUAAGCCUCAAGAUCUGUCGGUUUGU
rnacentral:ncRNA from 1 species